rnacentral:rRNA from 1 species
CCUACGGGUGGCAGCAGUGAGGAAUAUUGGUCAAUGGACGAGAGUCUGAACCAGCCAAGUAGCGUGAAGGAUGACUGCCCUAUGGGUUGUAAACUUCUUUUAUAUGGGAAUAAAAUGUUCCACGUGUGGGAUUUUGUAUGUACCCUAUGAAUAAGGAUCGGCUAACUCCGUGCCAGCAGCCGCGGUAAUACGGAGGAUCCGAGCGUUAUCCGGAUUUAUUGGGUUUAAAGGGAGCGUAGGUGGAUUGUUAAGUCAGUUGUGAAAGUUUGCGGCUCAACCGUAAAAUUGCAGUUGAAACUGGCAGUCUUGAGUACAGUAGAGGUGGGCGGAAUUCGUGGUGUAGCGGUGAAAUGCUUAGAUAUCACGAAGAACCCCGAUUGCGAAGGCAGUUCACUGGACUGCAACUGACACUGAGGCUCGAAAGUGUGGGUAUCAAACAGGAUUAGAUACCCGAGUAGUC